UAAUAAAGUGUUUUAUGGCACUUUUUAAAAAUCCAUAUCCACCUUGUGUGCAAUGUUAGAUCUCGUCAAUCUUGGCGAGGUUUUUAUACAUCAACUCAUUCUUUAACUAAUUUGUCUGAAAAAUAUUAUGAAUACUUAAUUCUAAAAUA
rnacentral:misc_RNA from 1 species